rnacentral:rRNA from 1 species
UACUUGUCAAUUUGAUCUUUCUAAGUAAAUUAAGCUGUUAUCCCUAAAGUAACUUAUUUCUAUUUUAGAACUUCUAGGUAUUAAAACGAGAAAGUUUCCUAAAUUAAAGAAAGCUUUAUUUCUCCACCGCCCCAGUGAAAUACUUUAUCCUUCUUCUAAGAAAAUAAAAUAUAAAGUUUUAUAGGGUCUUCUUGUCUAAAAGUUUUAUUUUAGCCUUCUUACUAAAAAGUAAAAUUCAUUUUCUUAUCUGAAAAAAGAUUCUCCUGGUUUACUCUUUCAUACCAGUCUCAAAUUAAAAGACUAA